rnacentral:piRNA from 1 species
UUGGACAGAGCAAUGCAAUUUGCUGC